GGCACUAUAGCCAAGUGGUUACGGCGCUGGCCUGCUAAUUACAACUGUAGUUAACAGAUAAGCCAGUCCCUUCGGGGGCGCAGGUUCGAAUCCUGCUGGUGUCG